rnacentral:rRNA from 1 species
AGGACGAACGCUGGCGGCGUGCUUAACACAUGCAAGUCAAGGGGGCCCGCAAGGGUAACCGGCGAACGGGUGCGUAACACGUGAGCGACCUGCCGAUCUGCGGGGGAUAGCCGGCCCAACGGCCGGGUAAUACCGCAUACGCUCCUCUUGGGGCAUCCUGAGAUGAGGAAACCUCCGGGGGAUUUCGAGGGGCUCGCGGCCUAUCAGCUAGUUGGCGAGGUCACGGCUCACCAAGGCGACGACGGGUAGC